rnacentral:rRNA from 1 species
CAACAACGGAUCUCUUGGUUCUGGCAUCGAUGAAGAACGCAGCGAAAUGCGAUAAGUAAUGUGAAUUGCAGAAUUCAGUGAAUCNAUCGAAUCUUUGAACGCACAUUGCGCCCAUUAGUAUUCUAGUGGGCAUGCCUGUUCGAGCGUCAUUUCAACCCUUAAGCCUAGCUUAGUGUUGGGAAUCUACUUCUCUUAGGAGUUGUAGUUCCUGAAAUACAACGGCGGAUUUGUAGUAUCCUCUGAGCGUAGUAAUUNNUUUUCUCGCUUUUGUUAGGUGCUAUAACUCCCAGCCGCUAAACCCCCAAUUUUUUGUGGUUGACCUCGGAUCAGGUAGGAAUACCCGCUGAACUUAAGCAUAUCANAUAAGCGGAGGAA